rnacentral:lncRNA from 1 species
CCAAGAUAUUAUAUUAUAAUCUAUGAAUUAUAAUAUGAUAUUUCUAUAAAAUAUCCAGUAUUUUUUUUUUCGUUAUCGUGAUUAAAUUAUCAAUUAUCAUACUAACAUAUUAUGGUUACGGUUUUGUAAACAAAUACCGUGGAUAUGUUAAAUAUAUUGUGGUAGUAGAGUAAAGAUAAACUAGAAUGUAUUAAACUAUCGGUACAACUGUACAAGGGAACCGUUAUUAAGUGCAAAAAUAAAAUUGCAGGAAAUCCAAGGAUUUUUAGGUAUUAUGGCAAGACUACAUGAAUUUUCACCUGGCAACACUCCGCCAUUAAGACAAACCAUGUCAAAAUUCCGCCGUUGCCACAGAACAGUACCAAGUGCCGUUCUUCGGUUUCUCGUCAUCAAUAGCAUGUCACUCGAAACGCAGGUAAAUUUUUUUCCAUAUUAUAUUUUUUUGUUAUUAUAUUAAUUAUUUCUGCUAUGAUAUUUUUAUUAAUAAUAGGUAUUCGUACUUUUAUGAUUAAUACCUGUGACCAUCGCGGCCUACUUUUGUGACUUCCAUGCUGAGACCACCGCCAACGCCACUACAAUCGCCGCCGUCCAUUGUGGUUAACGAGAAUUCAUCCAUUAAACAUUCCAGUAAGCAUUAAACAUCUAUUAUUAUUAUUUUGUACAUAUUGAAUUUUCAUUCGAUAUGCGAGUCAUCUUAUUUCCAUAUGUUUUUUUCGUUUUUAUUUUACAUUUUGAAUGUAGAGAGGGAUCUAUUGAUUUAACUAUGAUGUGUGUGUGGUUUUUUUUUUUUUUGUAUCUGUGAACAAUUUUCAUUGCGUACAGAUAUACAUUAAAUUCCUCUUUUUAUCCUACCUUCCCAACUUCUCACCUACAUCAGUAGGCCCGCCCAUCGUCUGAAGUAUAUUAGUCUUGUUAUUCAUAUAGAUUCACAAUUGAAUUAUUAAUUUUAUAUUGAUAUAAAUUGUCAGCAAAUAGGUAUGCAUAUAUAAGGUAUAAAAGAACGCCUUGCAACUGACGACUUUAAUACUAUACACUCGUUCAGAUUUUUAAUGAAAACUAGUGAUUAGAUACUUUUGAUAUGAAAAUCAUGAAAAAAUUGCACAAUGUAACACUUUUAGUCCGCUAAAGAUAAACUAUACCCAAUUUCCACGUAUUUGCUUUUAUUCAAUUCCGACUCUGUCAAAUCAAAAAUAAAAUAAUACAAAUUGUUACGGGCAAAAAUUAAAAGUACAGUAGAAAAUACUGUUUCAUUAAAUUUAAGUAGGUACUUCUUGAAAUUCCUGUUCACGUCGGAAUUUGGAAAUCAUCAUAUCAAUCUGAGUUCUCUCCCAGGCUGCCUUAAAUAAUUGGUUGUUGUUUUUGUAAUGUUUGAUUGAACCUAAUAGGUGUGAGGUGGUACUUAAGGGAGGUCAUUUUUCUAUGUUCUCAAGAGUUUUCUCAUUAUAUGGAAAAAUCGAAAAAACUAAGGAAAACCGGGAAAAUAUAAGAAAUAUAGGUAUUAGUUAAAAAUAUCAAGUAUACUAUAUAAGUUUUUUCUUUGCACAACUUUUAUACCAGCAAUUUUGCUCCAAUUUUUAAUGAUAGCAAUGCUUCUAAAUGGAAAUUUCACUAGGGAGGUACUUAAUAAAGGCCAUUUUUUGAUUUUCCCAAAAGUUUUCCCAGCAAAUGUGAAAACUGGAAUAAAACAUGGGAAAAAAGUAGAAAAACUGCGAAAAUUAGUAUAACAUUAAACAAAUUUUAUUUGAGAAAAUAUAGAAACCUUAUAUAAUUAUUUUACUACAAAAUAGCAUAUAGAUUGUUGACAAAGCAUCACUAUUACCUGAACUUCGUUAAGAAUUAUUUUUUUGUAAACAAUGGUUUAUCAUUGAUUACAGUUGUACAUUAAAUUCCAAUGUAUAUCCUACCUUCCUAAUUUCCCACCUACACCAGUGACUGCCCCUGUCCCCUUCAUCUUAUGUUUCUUUUGGUCAAUGAAAUGGUUACUGAAUGCUUAUUCAGUAUAGCACAAAGUAAAUUAUCUCAAAAAAAAAAAUAGGUAUCAAAAACUUCUAAAAAUCAAUUUUAAAUUCAGUACUAUAUUAUCUUUGUAAUAUUUGUAUUUUGUUGCUAUAUAUUUAGAUUUAUAAUAUUUAUAUACCAGGUGGUCCAUAUAAGUGGUUACACUCAAGAUGUUCUACAAUUUUAUAUUUAUUUUUUUUUUUUUUGUCACCUUUAUUUUUGGGUGUUAAACUAUUACCUACUUUUAUUUUUUCAAAAGGCAACCUAUAUUAAAAAAAUAGCCCAUAGGAUGGAGUAUUAGGUUAAAUAAAUUUUAGUGUUGAAAUUUGUGAUUCCUGUCAAGUCGUUAAAGAGAUAUUCAACUUUUAGGUUUGGCUUUGAGGAGAGUAGGUGUGCAUUAAAAACAAAAAUGAUAAUCCAUUACUCUCCUCAAACCCAAAUUUAAAAGUGAAAUAUAUCAUCAACGGGUUGACAGAAAUCAAAAGUGUCAACACUAAAAUUUAUUUUAACUAAUAUUCCAUCUAUUUAUGGACCUCCUUACAAAGAUUGCCAUUUGAAAAUCAAAAGUAGGUAGGGGUUUUACCACAUAAAAUAAGAUAAACAUAAAAUGUUUUUGAAAUGUUCUAGAAACAAAUUACAGAAAAGUUAAUACUCUCCAUAAUAGUUAGUUUACUCACUUAAAUGAAUCAUCUAGUAGAUUCUAUACAGAAGACUUAAUAAAAAAUAUUUUUAUUGGUUUUUCAUCACGACAAGCUAAGUAAUGUUAAAAUAAUGUAGUUCAAAACAAAUAAUUAAACUCCAUCCAAAAUGCAAGGCUAAUGUUAAGAUAAUCCAAAUGUUAACAUAUCUUUGUAACUAAUGAGUAAUUUUUUUUAUAGUAUUAAUAAUGGUAUUGUCAUGAACAUGGACAAGGUGUUCCUAUAUCCCUGUCCAAAAAAAAUGGAGUAUAUGAAAAAGAGAUAUUGUAAGUAUUAUUUUUUCAAUGAUGUACUCAUACAACAAUUGAUUUAAAUUAAUUGAAUUUAUUACAGCUAAAAAAAAAAAAUGAAAAAAAAAACUUUGAAAUGAAAAAUGUCUUAAAAUAAGUGUUAAUUAAUUCUAAUUUAGUUUUAUUUUUUACAAUUUUCUGGCCCAACACCAUAUAACGUUUUUUUGUAACAAUUUAUACCUAUACUACAGCUAUCUCUAUCUCUUAACUUCUAUUACAACUACCACUUAAUUGUGUAGAAGAAGCACGGCAUUUGUAGACAGUAUUAAUUUUCAAGAGUCUUUGAAAAAUUUUAACUUAUUUUAAUGGUGUUUGAAAAUUCGGUAGUAAAUCUCUUUUACAUUUUUUUGUCACCUACUUUUGAUAGUACAAAUAAGUUUGUUUAUUACUUUUUGACAAGAUUGUGUAUUUUCUUCGCGUUUCUUUUUUUUAAGAGUUUAACAUACACUAUCUCGUUAAGAACUAUUGAAUAAACUUUUGUCUUAUCAAAAGUAGAAGAAAUAAGAAACAAAAGAAAUUCUUUACCAAUUUUUUAAACACCAUUAUGAAUAAAAACAAGUGUUUACAAAGGCCUAAUCCUUUGGAAAUUCAAGAGAAUCCGGUUUGCAAAUAUCGUGAUUCUUCAAUACAAUCAUCAAGUGGAAAUUCUAAUGGAAACUUCGCUUGUCAUUUAUUUAAAACAGAUGCAUUUUAUUACAAAUUAUUAAGAGGAAUUUACACACCAUAUGGCAUUGUGCAAGACUAUUGUAGAAGAUGAAACUAAAUCAGAAUUGAAUAAGAAGACACUAUUUCAAACACCAAAUAGAAGAAGGAAUACAAAAAAAAGAAAUAUGAAUAAUAAUUUGUUUACAUUUAAGUAUACCUAUUUUAUCAAUUAUUUUAAAUCACCAUUUUGUAUUUUUACCUAAAUUAUAUCACCUAUUUAUUUCUUAAAAAGGACUUAAACUAUUAAAUUUUAAAAUUGAAUU